rnacentral:misc_RNA from 1 species
GAUGAAGAACGUAGCGAAAUGCGAUAAGUAAUGUGAAUUGCAGAAUUCAGUGAAUCAUCGAAUCUUUGAACGCACAUUGCGCCCCCUGGUAUUCCGGGGGGCAUGCCUGUUCGAGCGUCAUUUCACCACUCAAGCCUCGCUUGGUACUGGGCAACGCGGUCCGCCGCGUGCCUCAAAUCGACCGGCUGGGUCUUCUGUCCCCUAAGCGUUGUGGAAACUAUUCGCUAAAGGGUGUUCGGGAGGCUACGCCGUAAAACAACCCCAUUUCUAAGGUUGACCUCGGAUCAGGUAGGGAUACCCGCUGAACUUAAGCAUAUCAAUAAGCGGAGGA